CCCCAUUAUAUCUUCAUGAGGUCUACUCUGUCGCCUGGAACACAAACACCAUAAGAAGGGGUCAGGAGUUAGCAAACCUGGAGAACUAACCUCAUGUCACAAUUAAUGAGGGCCCAACCACCAUGGAACUUCUCGUCAUCUGGCAGCAAAAGCUGCAUGUAUGUCUGGAGCAGGAGGCUAACCUGCUCCUGGGCUCCUCUUUGGCUUUCUUUCUCCUUCUCCUCAUGCUCCUUCUCUUUACUGAAGAUGGAGUAGAGGUCCUCAGUGACGGGCAGGCCCAUCAUUAGGUCUGCAUAGAAGGGCAAAUGAUUUGGGGAAUAAACGGAAUGAUUAUAGGACAACCUUGUAUAUGUAAUAUAGCCAUUAUAUUUGGUUAGUUUUUCCAUACCAAUGACUGCUUGUCUGUAAGCGUCCCUAAAACGGUUCAGAUAGUAGCGGUUGGCCGAGUUCACACCAUCCUUCAUCACACCAGCCAGUUUCCGUUCCCCUGUCCUAGUGAAAUCUCCCUGAAACAGAUGAGCCAGUGUCUGUUACACUUUCCCAUAUUAAUAGUGAGUCUAAUCAGUCAAAAGAUCAGUUCACAUUUGUUAAUCUCAUGUGUUGACGUUCCUGACAUACUAUAUAAUCUGAGUCACAAAGUUUGUGCUACAGAAGCUUUAACUAUCCACUUAACAAUCGACUGGGUCAAAAGAAGAUGUGUUUUAAGCAAAAGCUGAUUUAAAUGUGGGACAGUGAUGUUACCUUGAGUGCUGCUGUUCCAGCAUACUGUCUGCUAAUGGUGUCUCCAUUAUUGGCCCACAUGAUCUGAUAAAUCCUGUAGCACUUGAGAGGCAGGGGCUGCUCUGGAGGCAUCACACCCAGUUUCUUCAGCUGCAUGAAGAAGUAAAAUGUUCAGUGUGAGCUGUUUUGAAUUUCUUUUUGCAUACACUCAUGUCUGUCUUAAUUUACAAUGAGAAAGGUCAGUAUGUUGUUUCUGAAGAAAACUGCAAAGAUACAUUGGACAUUAAUGGUUAUGCUGGCGUGCACACAUGAGCAACAUUGCAAUAGUGACAUUUCUGUUCUUCUCUUUACCUGGGUCUAUUAACUCACCUGUUGUUCCAUCACUGCCCGAGCAAUAGCAGCCUGAACCACAUUGGUCCUGUCAAGACAGUCCAUACAGUUGACUCUGAAGAUUCCGUCCUGUUUGCAGAUGACUCCUGCUUGGUCCACCCUGAGAGAGGCCAAGAUGUUCUACCUGCACGGUGACGGCUACGUCUGGAGAUCAGAGCCACAGUGAAGCGAGGAUGUAUGUCAUCAACGCAGGUGACCUCCUGGGGCGGGGUCUCAGGACUGCUCCUCUCCUCAUCUGAUGUGUCAUUAUAGUUCACCACCAGUUCCUCCACUUGCACAAACCCCUGGAUAACUGGUAUCACCCAGUGGUCAACCUCUGGGACCUGGACCAGUCCAAUGUUAAAAAGAAGAACAGCCGAACAAGGAGAUUCAAAUCCUGUCUUCCAAGAAAAGCACUCUACAUCCAACCAACUAAAGCAGAUAAUCCUCAUGUAUUGUGUGCACACCUCCAGCUCAAGCUCCUGGGGUUCUUCGUCAGAGAGAGGAAUGACAGCUAUCUUGGUGAUCUUGUAGACUUUGUGGUUGCCUGGUAAAUGGCCCACCAGAGCUUUCUGGCGGAUUAAUACAAGACCGAGAGGAAGAUCUGCCAAGAUGAGAAGGAAGGAGGAGCUGAAUCAUGGGUGCAGAAUUCCUCACAUUCUGGAAGGUGUGAAGAAAGCAGCUGCACACACACCAUUAUAGAUUUUUUUUUCUUUACAUAAGGCCACAUAAGGCCACACAAGACAUCUAGUAAAUACGUUUAAACCAUGUUAAUCCAUUUGAUUAGCAAAGGUUUUGUUCAGUUACUUGUGGGGGAUUAUUAUUUCAAACAUCCUCCCCUUGGGACUACAAAAACAAACAAAACCAGACCAUUGGCCCACUCCUGUUCAUGAAUGCACUAGUAUGCAAAUGUUUUCACAACUCUCUCUGUGAUGAAAAAAAGCAUACAAAAUAGAGGCUGAUUUGUCAAGUAAAGUGUCCAGUGAACACAGAUGGAAAUCAUUGGCAAGAAUGUGUUCAUUUAAAGGUUCGCCAUUCUCCACUUA